UACGUAGGGUGCGAGCGUUAAUCGGAAUUACUGGGCGUAAAGCGUGCGCAGGCGGUUUUGUAAGCCAGGUGUGAAAUCCCCGGGCUCAACCUGGGAAUGGCAUUUGGGACUGCAAGGCUGGAGUGCGGCAGAGGAGACUGGAAUUCCUGGUGUAGCAGUGAAAUGCGUAGAUAUCAGGAGGAACACCGGUGGCGAAGGCGGGUCUCUGGGCCGAUAUUGACGCUGAGGAGCGAAAGCGUGGGGAGCGAACAGG
rnacentral:rRNA from 1 species